rnacentral:rRNA from 1 species
AGUCGAGGGGCGCACUUCUUCGGAUGGUGGCGACCGGCGCACGGGUGCGUAACGCGUAUAGAACUUACCUUUUACAGAGGGAUAGCCUUUAGAAAUGAAGAUUAAUACCUCAUAGCAUUGAGAUUUGGCAUCAAAUUUUAAUUAAAGAUUUAUCGGUAAAAGAUGGCUAUGCGUCCUAUUAGCUAGAUGGUGAGGUAACGGCUCACCAUGGCAACGAUAGGUAGGGGUCCUGAGAGGGAGAUCCCCCACACUGGUACUGAGACACGGACCAAACUCCUACGGGAGGGAGCAGUGAGGAAUAUUGGGCAAUGGAGGGAACUCUGACCCAGCCAUGCCGCGUGCAGGAAUAAGGCCCUAUGGAUUGUAAACUGCUUUUAUACAGGAAGAAAACACUCGGACGUGUCCCAGCUUGACGGUACUGUAUGAAUAAACACCGGCUAACUCCGUGCCAGCAGCCGCGGUAAUACGGAGGGUGCAAGCGUUUUCCCGGAAAUCAUUGGGUUUAAAGGGCCCCCAGGCGGCCAAUUAAGUCAAAGGGGAAAUCCCAUCCCUUAACCAUGGAACCGCCUUUGAUACUGGGGGACUUGAGCCCUUGGGAAAAAAAAAAAAAGGGUAGGGUACCGGUGAAAUGCAUAAAAUAUUACCCAAAAAACCCAUUGCGAAAGGGGCCUACUACCUAAGGUCUGACGCUCCUGGGAAAAAACGGGGGGAGCGAACAGGAAAAAAUAACCGGGGAGCCCCCCCCCAAAACAAGGA